rnacentral:rRNA from 1 species
GCUUAUGGCCAUACCAGCCUGGCUAUGCCCGAUCUUGUCUGAUCUCGGAAGCUAAGCAGGUUGGGCCUGGUUAGUGCCUGGAUGGGAGACCGCCUGGGAAUGCCAGGUACUCUAAGCU